rnacentral:rRNA from 1 species
GAUGAACGCUGGCGGCGUGCCUAAUACAUGCCAGUCGAGCGAACGGACGAGAAGCUUGCUUCUCUGAUGUUAGCGGCGGACGGGUGAGUAACACGUGGAUAACCUACCUAUAAGACUGGGAUAACUUCGGGAAACCGGAGCUAAUACCGGAUGAUAUUUUGAACCGCAUGGUUCAAAAGUGAAAGACGGUCUUGCUGUCACUUAUAGAUGGAUCCGCGCUGCAUUAGCUAGUUGGUAAGGUAACGGCUUACCAAGGCAACGAUGCAUAGCCGACCUGAGAGGGUGAUCGGCCACACUGGAACUGAGACACGGUCCAGACUCCUACGGGAGGCAGCAGUAGGGAAUCUUCCGCAAUGGGCGAAAGCCUGACGGAGCAACGCCGCGUGAGUGAUGAAGGUCUUCGGAUCGUAAAACUCUGUUAUUAGGGAAGAACAUAUGUGUAAGUAACUGUGCGCAUCUUGACGGUACCUAAUCAGAAAGCCACGGCUAACUACGUG